AUCUUUAAUAAAGACCCCAUUUAAAUAAAGAGUUUAGGUACACUACAAAUAUCCUUAAUUAUCCUUAAUUUAAGACCACACUACACCACAUAUUUUCUUGAACUUUGUACCAGGUGCACGUAAAUUGAAACACAGGAAGUACUACCCUUUUUACUCAAAAAAUAUGCAUCAAACAAACUAAAGGAUGUUUUAAUGUUCCCUACAUUUUUCUCUAUUAUGUUUAGUAAGGUCUUUCCAUGCCUCCUUUUAACCCUUGAAUUAACUUUUGUGGUUGAUGUGUGCUAUGGUGAUGGGAUGUGAAGGACACAGUAUAUAUGUAUGGAAGUGUGCUUUAAGGGGUUAGUUUCGGUAUUGAUAUUCUCUGUUGAUGAGUCUCGUCUCAUUCCUACCGAAAAUAACGUGUGUGUCUCACCUAAUAGAACUAUAUAUAAAAAGAAUAAAAUCAUUAUUUUUGCGGUUCAUACCACUACCUCAAAGAUUCGUGAAAUAGAAAAAGUUAAAUUAAUGAACUAAGGUAUAUGCCUUUGUUAGCCUUUGCAAGAAUUCUGUUUUUCAAGCCCUGCAUAAUUUUUUGUCGAAAAUCAAUCAAAAAUCUCCUAAUUUGUUUUCUCUUCAAGAGAUAAUGAUACAACAACAUGCUCCCUCCAUUUCAUAUUAGUUGGUCUCUGUGGACUUGACACGCCCAUUAAGUAAAAAUUUAUUUUGAAAAUAUAAAUUUAUACACUUUAUUUAGUCAUUAAUAAUAGGAGUAGUAUCAAAAGAACAUAAUAAUAUUCUUUUGAUUUUAUAAAAGGGACAAUUAAAUUGAAACAAGAAGACCAACUAAUAUGAAACGGAGAAAGUAUUUGUUUUAAAAAACAUAUAAACAUCAACAACAUUACUUAAUAUAGUCAAAAGUCUUGUCCCUAUCUUUGUAAGGUAGAGAGACUACUAUUAAUAGAUUUUCGGCUCACAAGAAAUAAUUGUACAAUAAUAGCGUACUCAAUAUAGUAAUAUACCUUCGGAGUUGAAUUUGUAUCACAUUUGUAUUUUCUUUCUUUAUAUAAAUAGAGCCCCAACCUAUAAGGAAUUGAAGUGCUCAAUCUAAUUUGGACUAAAACAUUAUACGUGCACUUUUCCAUGUGUGUACAAGUAAAAAAUUUCAUAUAUUUAGGAGCCUCAUUUACUAAUUUCUAUAUUUUUAAUAGUCAAUAUUAUUUAAUACUUAUAAAAAAAGGAUUUUGUCAUCAAUUUUAAGAGUCUUAUAGAUUAUAGAUAAGGUCAAGCUAAACAUAAACAUAUAUUUUAUAGAUAAGGUUAAGGUAAACAUAAACAUAUAUUUUAGUGGAAACACGUAUAUAUUUUAUCAUCAUUGAUUUGCUGCACUUGGGCCGAGGGUCUAGCGGAAACAACGAGGUAGGGGUAAGUUUUCGUAUAUCCUACCCUUCCGAAACCCAACUUGUGGGAUAACACUGGGUAUGUUGUUGUGCAACAUCAAUCCAAUGGUUUGAACUUCUCGUUCAUGAUAGACAUUGUAGAUGAGUGAUGGCAACAGCUAGAAAUGUUUUUAUGCUUAUGUUAAGUUGGUGAUAUCUGGAAGACGUAUCUUUUUUAUUGGCUUCAAGUGUCGAUUUCGAAAUAAUUUACUUGACAAGAUUUUGGCAGGUAGUUUUAACCAGUACAAAUCCAUCGGAGCUCUGUGUCAGUGGCAUGUCCUUUUCCCGACAGUCAUCUAAAUGGGCGAAUGCUGCACUUGUUGUUACAGUCUCGUCAAAAGAUUUUGCUGCUUUGGACUUGCACAUACCUCUCGGUGGUGUUGAAUUUCAGGUACUACUUAUAAGCGUCCACACUAGCUGCAUAGAUUUUUUGAAAUUGGCAACGAGUUAUAUUCAUCAGUACCCUAAACAGGCCUGGUAUAUCAUAUCUACAGAUACAGCCUUGAACAAAACUUACAAAGAGGCGAAGAAGUCUAGUAACAUCAACUAACUGUUCUUUACACCAAAAAUAAAGAAGAGAAAUGCAGGAGCUCUUGAUCUUCUGGAUUGAACUGGUUCUGCCUUCACUCGGAUGCUGCCACCUAAUAAAAAAGACACAUUAUAACUAUGGCCUUUAACUUUGCCGGUGAACAAGUAGGCCCUUUCACUAUACAAAAGCAGAACAAAACAACACUUCAAUUCUAACUCCGACGAGCGUGAUUUUGAAUGUGGAAUAGAAGUAUUUUUUUUUGUUUAGCCUUUGUAUAGUUAAAGGGCCUACCUGUACACCGGUAAAGUUAAAAAGGUCAUAAUUAUAAUUCGGUGUCAAGUAUGAGUUUAGUUUCCAUAAAAUAAGACGAGAACAUUGUAUCGAAAAAUAAUUGGGUGGUCUUUAUUACAAUGGAUGUAUUAACUAAUACUAGUUUUGUUUUUAAAAAGCACAUUUUAAAAUAUUAAAAUUGAGUGUGUAGUAAUUAUCCCAUUUUUUCAUCAAUACUCACCCUCCUCACUACUUUGUGUUUCUUAGCUCUAUACCAUUUUUUCAUCCACACUGACUCUCCUCACUACUUUUAUCAUCCUACUUGGGUGAAUUAUUACACACUCCAAUUGAAGAGCAGAGCAGGUACUAAUAUUCCAGAUUGGUGUAUAGAGUGAUUCCCAGCUCUAGCCCACCUAUUAUUCUCUAGGUGAGUGCCGAUUUAUAUUUCAAAAUGUGUUAGGUUUAGAUGCUAAAAAAAUGUUUUGCCUGAAAAGAAUAUAGAAAUUUAGGAUUUCAUCAGUGUUGUUAAAGGGUGCGGGAAAGUGCUGAAUCCUAGGUGCAACCUAAGUUUGGGCCUUCUCUUUGUAGAUGGUUUCAACAAAAUUUGUUUGGGGUUUCAAGAAAUUUCAAAAACUAGAUAAGAAUAUUUUAAUACAUCCCAGAUUAAUUUGUGUUUUUUGCAUAAGUUUGACACUGUUGUUGAUUAAUAAUAUACUAACACUUGGCUGUUGUUGUUAUUGUUGUUGUUGUUGUUUGUGUAUUUUGCAAACAAACAUAAAUUUGACACUGUUAUUGAUUAAUAAUAUACAGCACUGGGUGGUGGUGGUGGUUGUAUACAGCAUGUCUGGAAAAGAACCUAUGAAGGAAGACUCAGAGGAGUCACCAAUGUCAAUAUCUGAAGAAAAGGAGCCAUCAGCGAUGUCCGAGGAAGCGGACUCGUCUACAAGGACAAUGCCUCAAGGUUUCUUGCCGCAGCCUCCUCCUCCUCCUCAGAUACCAUCCCCCGUCCGAAGAUACAUUCGUGGGAAGCGACCUCCCCCACCUCCGCCUCCAGUCCCAUCAGCUUUUGGGUACAUAAAUUUUAUAACUUGCUUUUAAAGACUCGAUUUAAAAUGAUUAAUAAUAUUGAACUGGAAUAUAUGACUCAUUUCACCAAUCCCAAACUGGUUUGAAGUGAGGUAUAGUUUGAUUAAUUUAUUGAAUCCAGUUAGAGAUUACAAAUAGGAAUUAGAUCUCCAUUAACGUUGUCUUUUAGUCCCUAAAGCUCAAAUUCUGCACUUUGGUUUAACUCCCUUUUGUCCCCGAGGAAUUGUCCAAUUUCUUAGAAGGUGGUUUCUACGCAGGCAUCUCUAUAUCAGGGGUCCUGAUGGUCCAUUAGAUGAUGCAAUGGUUAAAAGAUUACGUUUGACCACCGUGUGCCCGACAUCUUUGGCAUGGAUAAUUUAUCUUUCGGCUGUGAAGAGAGCAAAACUCCACUUCCAGUUUGAGACAUCUGUUAUCACUGAUGACAGAGGUAGCUUGACUAAUGAUUUACUAAUAUCAGUAAAUAUGUCAAAGAAGUUCUGACAACUCCUCUCUUAUCUUUUUUCACAGAACCGCGUUUUUGUAUGGAUACAAGAGUCUUCAAAAGUCUAGAAGAAUUCAUCAACAUCAAAACAAGUUUGUCGAUGGAGCCAAGGCAAAACGAGGUGCAGGUUGCACUCCACGAAUCUUGGAUUGAUAGAAAAUCAAGGGAGGAGGAGCAAACAAAAUUGCGAGAAAUAGAAGAAAAGAAGACACGGAUGACAGAACCCUUAUUCACUUUGGAAAGUGUGUAUUUAUGCACAUAUGGUUUGGUCCUCCAAUCAAACAAACAGUGGCUUUCAAAUGCGCUGCGUAAAAUUAAAGAACACUACAGGAUCAGCAGUGAAAAAGAAUUACAAGAAUAUGUAAGUUCAUAUAAAUUGGGUGAAGUGAUCUAUCUAUUCCUCAUCAAUAUAAAUACACUUCCUUUUCAGCAAAACUAUUAUUUGUGUGCUACAGUUGUUGGCAGAAAUAGAUACGGCUUGUCUGCACUUGUGUCGCGAGCUAGGAGCUCAAAAUUACUAUUUGGAUGAUCUGUAAGCCUCCCCAACUUCUUUUUUAACUUAAGUCUCUUUUGUUUCCUAUUCUUAUGUAAUUUCUCUACUCUUUUCAUGGUUUUCUAGGAGGAAAGGGUUCGCUGCAAAGGCAUCGUAAGUCAACUUCUAAUAUGUUCUAAGUUAGAAUUGAUAUAACUGAUGUGUCGACUUUCUUUUUUCUCCUUUUUGCCAGGGCCAUAGCCAUGCUGAACUUGUCCAUUUUGGAUGCAAAAAGCGCAGCUAGUAUACUGCUCAUCAUGAGUUUAACCGGCAUACAGGUGGGUAUAAUUUAUAUAUACGACAUGAGAACUUUCAAGGUUAUGCCUUGAACUUGCAAGUCAAGGUAUAAGCACCUUUUUUGCGGAAUCUCCCCGGCCCCUCCAUAUUCUGCAAUCCCAGGUUCAACAUGAUACCCCCUUCUUGUGCCACUAGUCUCCGGGCAAGCAAACCUCUAACCCAUCCCUAUUCCCAUUACUUUUGAAUUUGACAUCAAAAGUAACUAAACCUUUUGACGAGUACCCCCUUUGAAUCUCUAGUUAUCUUCCAACACUCAAUGUCAGGUUCCAUUCUUCUAGCUUGUCCGCAGCCUAUCAAUUUUGUUAGAAUAAUUUCACAGCCUCCUCUUCAUGACCCUGGAAAUAUCUGCCCCUAAUGUUUUGAUGUACCCAGAGAUUGUUGCAUCCCUUUCUCAAUCGAGAAUAGCUUGUUGUUGAUGAAUAAGAAGAGGCGUGGCCUCCUCUUACCUCCCAAUUUUCUAUCCUAGAGAUUGAAUUCUCUUUGGCUGAUUCAGUGGACUUAUCUUCAAUUAUCCUUCUAUCCUUCAAUUUUCGCAGUCAUAACCUCUUCUGUGUUCAUCGCUGCCUUUACAUAUGAAUCUUCUGUGUGUUGCGACUUUGCAUGCGAAGAAUUCUGGGCAGACUAGAGAGAAGUCCAGAACUUAGAUGAAACAGUGGGGAGUUGAUGCCUUGUAAGUCAUUAAAAAUGACUUGGCCAGCGAAAUCAAGACCAACACUCUUGCAAAAACUGCACUCGUAUCGUCCAAAUCAUCCACUUAUCAAACUACCAAAACAUCACGAUGUUUGAUUUUGCAUGUGCUUGAAGCACGAUUCUAUAUUGGCUUGAAUAUUUCGGGUGUUACAAUAUAAACCCCAAAGCAAGCACUUUUCCAAUUUGUUGUUGACCAUCUGCUUACAUCUGCAAGUGUGGAUUGGAUCACUCCUUAGCCUCCUCUCCGAAGCACCCAACUAGACAUUUUUUUUCAAUAGCCCAUCGAUCAUCCCGUACUCCAGAUGGUUCAGGAACACCAAGUUUCUUUGAUCAUUGGCAUUUACUUUCUUCGUACGACCUUUAGGUGUGGGUAGUUGGCUUCAGCUAAUGCAGGAGGGGCUAACAGUUGUAGCUUAUUGGAGCAUUAAAUGAACUUUUUGAUUUUAAAUGCUAUGUCACACCCACCCCACCCAUGACAAUUUAAGGACAAUAGGCUCAUUAUGUUUUCUGGUAGAAAGUGUUCCGAGUCAAGUUCUGUGGUUUUCCAUCCCCUGACCUCUUUCUUUUGGUCUGUUGAGGCUUCUCCAUUCCAGGAUCUGUUUUACUUAUAGUCGAUCUUCUCAUCAUCUUACAACCCCUGUCCACCAUGCCUACCAAAUUGAGUUGUCUGAGGUGUGAGGACCAUCUAAGUGAUGUUGUCGAGGACUUAAAUCCAUCAUUGGAAUAAAUCUCUUUGAUAUCCUUAUGUAUGUUUAUUUAAUCUCUCCUUAACUCAUAGCAUUGUUGGUAUAAACAUAGUUCUCUACACAAAUAAAAAAACUGUCUUUUCUUGAUACUUAUUGAAUUUUAAAUUAUUCUUGUUAUUUCUUUGUUUUUUUUUAUGCACCUAAACUCUGUCUCAAAUUUUGUUUACAGAUUUCUUGUUUUAAUAAUAUCAGAUACAAUUCAUUAAUGGAACAAGUAACAACGUUGGAUUACUGGCAAUAUGGAUUAUGGAUGAAUAUUCUUACACUCCUCCAUCAAGCAUGUGCAAUUAUUUUGUACAAAAGGGUAGGUACUCUCCGUUUCAAUCUAAGUAUCUUAAUUUAAUGUCCUUUGGUUAAUCUUUAAUAAAGACCCCAUUUAAAUAAAGAGUUUAGGUACACUACAAAUAUCCUUAAUUUAAGACCACACUACACCACAUAUUUUCUUGAACUUUGUACCAGGUGCACGUAAAUUGAAACACAGGAAGUACUACCCUUUUUACUCAAAAAAUAUGCAUAAAACAAACUAAAGGAUGUUUUAAUGUUCCCUACAUUUUUCUCUAUUAUGUUUAGUAAGGUCUUUCCAUGCCUCCUUUUAACCCUUGAAUUAACUUUUGUGGUUGAUGUGUGCUAUGGUGAUGGGAUGUGAAGGACACAGUAUAUAUGUAUGGAAGUGUGCUUUAAGGGGUUAGUUUCGGUAUUGAUAUUCUCUGUUGAUGAGUCUCGUCUCAUUCCUACCGAAAAUAACGUGUGUGUCUCACCUAAUAGAACUAUAUAUAAAAAGAAUAAAAUCAUUAUUUUUGCGGUUCAUACCACUACCUCAAAGAUUCGUGAAAUAGAAAAAGUUAAAUUAAUGAACUAAGGUAUAUGCCUUUGUUAGCCUUUGCAAGAAUUCUGUUUUUCAAGCCCUGCAUAAUUUUUUGUCGAAAAUCAAUCAAAAAUCUCCUAAUUUGUUUUCUCUUCAAGAGAUAAUGAUACAACAACAUGCUCCCUCCAUUUCAUAUUAGUUGGUCUCUGUGGACUUGACACGCCCAUUAAGUAAAAAUUUAUUUUGAAAAUAUAAAUUUAUACACUUUAUUUAGUCAUUAAUAAUAGGAGUAGUAUCAAAAGAACAUAAUAAUAUUCUUUUGAUUUUAUAAAAGGGACAAUUAAAUUGAAACAAGAAGACCAACUAAUAUGAAACGGAGAAAGUAUUUGUUUUAAAAAACAUAUAAACAUCAACAACAUUACUUAAUAUAGUCAAAAGUCUUGUCCCUAUCUUUGUAAGGUAGAGAGACUACUAUUAAUAGAUUUUCGGCUCACAAGAAAUAAUUGUACAAUAAUAGCGUACUCAAUAUAGUAAUAUACCUUCGGAGUUGAAUUUGUAUCACAUUUGUAUUUUCUUUCUUUAUAUAAACAGAGCCCCAACCUAUAAGGAAUUGAAGUGCUCAAUCUAAUUUGGACUAAAACAUUAUACGUGCACUUUUCCAUGUGUGUACAAAUAAAAAAUUUCAUAUAUUUAGGAGUCUUCCAUAGAAUAAAAGUUCUCAUUUAUUAAUUUCUAUAUUUUUAAUAGUCAAUAUUAUUUAAUACUUAUAAAAAAAGGAUUUUGUCAUCAAUUUUAAGAGUCUUAUAGAUUGUAGAUAAGGUCAAGCUAAACAUAAACAUAUAUUUUAUAGAUAAGGUUAAGGUAAACAUAAACAUAUAUUUUAGUGGAAACACGUAUAUAUUUUAUCAUCAGACAUCCUAAGUGGUUGCGGUUAUUUUUUAUUUUUUUUUAUAUUUAAAGUCUUUUCUUGUUCUGAAAGUCAAUGUAUGAUUAUUUUUUUCCUAUAUUUAAAAUCUUAGUCCAAUCUUCACAAAAUCAUCCAUUACAUUUUUGUUGGUUUAGAAUUCUUAAACUGACUGAAAAAAAUAUUAGUUUGUCAUUAAUUCUGAUGACUUUUAAUAAGGAGAGGUUUUACCAUAAGUAUAUUUAAUUAAUUUUCAACCCUUAAAUAUUACGAAAAAUAGUGAAAAAACGAUUUUGUCUAAAGUAAAACUUUUAAUGAAUGACAAAAAGUUCGAACGACAUUUCUAAUGCCCUUCACACUUUUAAUAUAUUAUAUAUAUAGAUUAUAGAUAUAGAUAUAGAUUAUCACUAGUUGUGACUUGUGACCCUUCACAUUUUACCCGAAAGGCAUUUUGAAACACUUGGUAGAUAGUGUAGCCAUUUUUGGCGGGUAAAUUUGUGUUAAGCUAUGUAUUUUCAUUUUACCCUUAACGAGAUUAGUAUAGAGCCACACAAAUGUCUUAGGCUUGUUUUGGACCAUAAGUUUUAAAAUACUUUCUUUCUUAAACUUGUCCCUAAUCAAACAGUGCCACAUAAAUAGGGACGAAUGGAGUGUCUACCUUGAAUCUCCAUGCGAAGCACCCUAUAUGUGUUCCCUUCAAUCACCUAAGCGCUUCCAAAGAAAAUGGAACACCUAAGAGUGUGGCUUAGUGGUAAAUGAAGUGAGUUGAGAAUCAUGUGGUCUAAGGCUCAAAUACCAAGUGAGAUAAAAAUGUUGUAGAUGCUUUCUAGGUUCAAAUACCGAGUGAGAUAAAAACAUAGAUGCUUUCUUCCAAUAUGUCCUAGCCUUAGUGGACCCGACAUGUUUUGAGGAAGAUUUGUCGCAGCGAGUAUUUGGACCAAAGGGUACGCUAGCCUUGGGUCUUUUUGCACCUCAAGUAAAUUUGAAAUUUGAAGGUGUUUUUUCGUCAUCAGUAAUAGGUGGACGUUGGUAGUUUCACAAAAUAAAAAACUCUGUCCGCAAAAAGUCCGACCAGCUAUCAUUGAAAUGAGUUCUAGGAUAAUAAUGGACAUGACCUAAGUAGCAACAGAAAUAUUAGAAUUCUUGAACACAAUAAUUAUAUAUUCUGUAAUAACAUUCCACUUACUGAUAACCUUCUCAUAUCAGAAUGAAUGAUUCGGAGUAAUUUUGUCAUCAGAAUUACAAAUUCCAAAACAUAAAAGUAAACUCAAGUCUACAGUUGAGAAUCAAUCAUAUCAAAGGGAGCAAUGUCAUGAAAGUGUUGCAUAACUUCCAGAUCAGACACACGAGUCUUUCUGUCACGGAGACACCGUAACCCUAAAUGCAAUAAACCCAAAGCAAUUUCCUUUUCUUUUUUCAUUUGCUUGAAUUGUUCUAUCAGUUGUUCCUUCAAUAAUUUCACUAGACCUGCAUUUUCUUCAGCAGCUUCUUUUUCAGCGGUUAAUUCUUCGGCACGUGUGAUUAUAUUUUUAGCGAUUUCAAAACCAUUAUCCCUGUAUUGUUUUUCGUAACGUCUCCCGUAAGCAGUUGGAGUACAAUCAUCCCAUAUGAAAAAACAUCAUGUUCCCAUGUUGCAACUGUAAAAAAUAAAGCCAUAAAAAUAUUUUAACAACAAAUCCUUAAAAAAUCAUCUACUUGAUUUUAACCUAUAGUCUUGGCAAAUCUUUCUCACUCAAGCUACAAUUAUUCAGGAUGAGAUAUCAUGCACGAGGGGCAUACACGAUCUGCAGUUGUUUUGUAGAGUCUACAAUUAACAAUAUCAAUUAAGAAAGUGCUUUUAAGAUGCUCCCAGUUACUGUCCCCGAGGCAUCUCUCUGAAGCCCCUUUCGGACUUUAGAGAUCCGUUUCUAGUGGACUUCUUCCAACGGAAGCCAUCCCCAAUCAAUAUUUUUCUCUCCACUCUUCCGUUUUUUCUUGGCCUAUCUACUAUGUUGGAAAAUAGAAUAUAUCCCUGAUCGUCGGGGGAGUCUUACGAUAUCAUAGAGUCGAGUUCUAAAGCUGAAAUAUGGUACGAUUGGUUGGAAAGUACUAGAAAUCUCAUGAGGAGAAUGGUGCUGAGCAAGGGAGCAUUGAUGUGGAUUUGCAAGAGAUUCUUCGAAGCAUCAGGGAUCAAAGGGAGGACAUUUAAGUCCUGGAGAGUCAGAGAUUUCUCCACAAGCAUUUUCCUAUCCUUAAAAUACAAUCACUAUGGGAGGUUUUUAUUGUUGAAUUCAGUUAAAGGCAGCGAAAGAGCAGUUAUUGUCAUUCUAGAGAACACAUUUAAUGAAAGUCGGCGAGACUAGCAAAGAAAAUAGACACAUUCAUUAAUAGGAAUGCAACAAGGGAGGCAGAUAUAGCUGCAAACAUGGGAAAGGGAGUUACCUACAAAUAUUGCACAAAAAUAAGUGGACACGAAGAGAGACAGAGGUCGCUGAAGAAAUGGGAGAUGAUUGAGUUCUGAAAGCAGAGACUCAUUUGGAGGAGAAAGAUCUCAUGGGGAGAUGCCUGGUGGGGAACUUUUCUGGCAAAGAAGAUGCCCCCACCAGAAGUGAAGUCAAAAGCUGGGCGGGUCAGGCUUGUAAAGGAACGCAAGGAAUCCAAGUGUAUGACAUGAAUGGAUCUCUGUUCUUGUUCGAAUUCUAGUCAAGAAAAGCAGCUGAACACGUCCUGAUGGGACUAAAUUUAUGUAUUUCUGAUCAAAAUUCUAACAAUCAAGAUGUGACAAUUUAUGUUGUUAAAUCAGAUUAGAUGUUUUGAUGUUCAGCUCAUACCUGACCCAUCCUCGUUAUUUACGUAGCCACCUGUUUCAAUCUCAACAUGUCCUCCUGUUUUAAUACAACCCGCCAAAUCGCAUAAUACAGCAUUGCCCCACUGCCCAAGAACAAAAAAAAUGUGAGCAUAUAAUUUAUUCGUAUAGAAAGAAGUAUGUAUUAAUUAAAUAAGGAUGUGAAAAUUCAUUACCUGGUCUAAUAGAACGUUUUCUGGCUUUAGAUCGCAAAGACAAUAUCCAGAUCUGUGGACCACAUAAACGGCAUAUGCAAGGCUUUUUAAAACUCUCAUAAUCUGGUCCCAAUCCAUAUCUGCGUCGAAGAAAUGAAAUUGUGUAAGUUAGAGAAGAAAGUUGCGUCGAAGAAAUGAAAUUGUGUAAGUUAGAGAAGAAAGUUGCGUCGAAGAAAUGAAAUUGUGUAAGUUAGAGAAGAAAGUUGCGUCGAAGAAAUGAAAUUGUGUAAGUUAGAGAAGAAAGUUUCGUCAAAAGGAUUGUGUAAGAAUUUACCUUUUCUUGCUGAUUCCAAAUCCCCACCGGGUACCCAAUCAGUAACUAGGAAUUUCAGAUUGCGGUUUGAGACCAAUCCCUUGCCUCUACCUACUAAUUUAAGUAGGUUCUUGUAUGGCAAUUCUUCCAAAACGCUCACUUCACUCUGCACAAGCAUUGUUUAGUAGGAAUUGAUAUAAGAGAACUAUAUAUCAAACAAAUUAGAUAUUACCUCAGUUUGAAUAUUCCACCGUGUUGCUUUAGACAAUUUAAAUGCAUAAUCACCAGCCUGUAGUUGCCAUUCGUUUUCAUUUGAUAAUUGGACUUUAUAAACUUUGCCCAUUGUUCCUACACCUUAAGGUUCGGAGUUGAGACAAGAGAUUUGGAUUCGCUUUGAGUAUUGGGCUAAAAUCUAUGACUGAACAAGUUUGUAAAACAGUUAGUAUAACAGUAUCAAAAGGACUAACUUGAAUAAAUUCAGAUACAGACAAAUAAAGCUAUGAAAAACUUUCUUCUAGUUGAAAUAAUAAUUGAUCGGGAGAAAAAGCAACUUCUCACUUGCCCCCCAAAAAAGGCUCCUAUCACAAUUUUCAUUACUUCACCCUUGGNNNNNNNNNNNNNNNNNNNNNNNNNNNNNNNNNNNNNNNNNNNNNNNNNNNNNNNNNNNNNNNNNNNNNNNNNNNNNNNNNNNNNNNNNNNNNNNNNNNNNNNNNNNNNNNNNNNNNNNNNNNNNNNNNNNNNNNNNNNNNNNNNNNNNNNNNNNNNNNNNNNNNNNNNNNNNNNNNNNNNNNNNNNNNNNNNNNNNNNNNNNNNNNNNNNNNNNNNNNNNNNNNNNNNNNNNNNNNNNNNNNNNNNNNNNNNNNNNNNNNNNNNNNNNNNNNNNNNNNNNNNNNNNNNNNNNNNNNNNNNNNNNNNNNNNNNNNNNNNNNNNNNNNNNNNNNNNNNNNNNNNNNNNNNNNNNNNNNNNNNNNNNNNNNNNNNNNNNNNNNNNNNNNNNNNNNNNNNNNNNNNNNNNNNNNNNNNNNNNNNNNNNNNNNNNNNNNNNNNNNNNNNNNNNNNNNNNNNNNNNNNNNNNNNNNNNNNNNNNNNNNNNNNNNNNNNNNNNNNNNNNNNNNNNNNNNNNNNNNNNNNNNNNNNNNNNNNNNNNNNNNNNNNNNNNNNNNNNNNNNNNNNNNNNNNNNNNNNNNNNNNNNNNNNNNNNNNNNNNNNNNNNNNNNNNNNNNNNNNNNNNNNNNNNNNNNNNNNNNNNNNNNNNNNNNNNNNNNNNNNUGUUUAUACCAACAAUGCUAUGAGUUAAGGAGAGAUUAAAUAAACAUACAUAAGGAUAUCAAAGAGAUUUAUUCCAAUGAUGGAUUUAAGUCCUUCGACAACAUCACUUAGAUGGUCCUCACACCUCAGACAACUCAAUUUGGUAGGCAUGGUGGACAGGAGUUGUAAGAUGAUGAGAAGAUCGACUAUAAGUAAAACAGAUCCUGGAAUGGAGAAGCCUCAACAGACCAAAAGAAAGAGGUCAGGGGAUGGAAAACCACAGAACUUGACUCGGAACACUUUCUACCAGAAAACAUAAUGAGCCUAUUGUCCUUAAAUUGUCAUGGGUGGGGUGGGUGUGACAUAGCAUUUAAAAUCAAAAAGUUCAUUUAAUGCUCCAAUAAGCUACAACUGUUAGCCCCUCCUGCAUUAGCUGAAGCCAACUACCCACACCUAAAGGUCGUACGAAGAAAGUAAAUGCCAAUGAUCAAAGAAACUUGGUGUUCCUGAACCAUCUGGAGUACGGGAUGAUCGAUGGGCUAUUGAAAAAAAAUGUCUAGUUGGGUGCUUCGGAGAGGAGGCUAAGGAGUGAUCCAAUCCACACUUGCAGAUGUAAGCAGAUGGUCAACAACAAAUUGGAAAAGUGCUUGCUUUGGGGUUUAUAUUGUAACACCCGAAAUAUUCAAGCCAAUAUAGAAUCGUGCUUCAAGCACAUGCAAAAUCAAACAUCGUGAUGUUUUGGUAGUUUGAUAAGUGGAUGAUUUGGACGAUACGAGUGCAGUUUUUGCAAGAGUGUUGGUCUUGAUUUCGCUGGCCAAGUCAUUUUUAAUGACUUACAAGGCAUCAACUCCCCACUGUUUCAUCUAAGUUCUGGACUUCUCUCUAGUCUGCCCAGAAUUCUUCGCAUGCAAAGUCGCAACACACAGAAGAUUCAUAUGUAAAGGCAGCGAUGAACACAGAAGAGGUUAUGACUGCGAAAAUUGAAAGAUAGAAGGAUAAUUGAAGAUAAGUCCACUGAAUCAGCCAAAGAGAAUUCAAUCUCUAGGAUAGAAAAUUGGGAGGUAAGAGGAGGCCACGCCUCUUCUCAUUCAUCAACAACAAGCUAUUCUCGAUUGAGAAAGGGAUGCAACAAUCUCUGGGUACAUCAAAACAUUAGGGGCAGAUAUUUCCAGGGUCAUGAAGAGGAGGCUGUGAAAUUAUUCUAACAAAAUUGAUAGGCUGCGGACAAGCUAGAAGAAUGGAACCUGACAUUGAGUGUUGGAAGAUAACUAGAGAUUCAAAGGGGGUACUCGUCAAAAGGUUUAGUUACUUUUGAUGUCAAAUUCAAAAGUAAUGGGAAUAGGGAUGGGUUAGAGGUUUGCUUGCCCGGAGACUAGUGGCACAAGAAGGGGGUAUCAUGUUGAACCUGGGAUUGCAGAAUAUGGAGGGGCCGGGGAGAUUCCGCAAAAAAGGUGCUUAUACCUUGACUUGCAAGUUCAAGGCAUAACCUUGAAAGUUCUCAUGUCGUAUAUAUAAAUUAUACCCACCUGUAUGCCGGUUAAACUCAUGAUGAGCAGUAUACUAGCUGCGCUUUUUGCAUCCAAAAUGGACAAGUUCAGCAUGGCUAUGGCCCUGGCAAAAAGGAGAAAAAAGAAAGUCGACACAUCAGUUAUAUCAAUUCUAACUUAGAACAUAUUAGAAGUUGACUUACGAUGCCUUUGCAGCGAACCCUUUCCUCCUAGAAAACCAUGAAAAGAGUAGAGAAAUUACAUAAGAAUAGGAAACAAAAGAGACUUAAGUUAAAAAAGAAGUUGGGGAGGCUUACAGAUCAUCCAAAUAGUAAUUUUGAGCUCCUAGCUCGCGACACAAGUGCAGACAAGCCGUAUCUAUUUCUGCCAACAACUGUAGCACACAAAUAAUAGUUUUGCUGAAAAGGAAGUGUAUUUAUAUUGAUGAGGAAUAGAUAGAUCACUUCACCCAAUUUAUAUGAACUUACAUAUUCUUGUAAUUCUUUUUCACUGCUGAUCCUGUAGUGUUCUUUAAUUUUACGCAGCGCAUUUGAAAGCCACUGUUUGUUUGAUUGGAGGACCAAACCAUAUGUGCAUAAAUACACACUUUCCAAAGUGAAUAAGGGUUCUGUCAUCCGUGUCUUCUUUUCUUCUAUUUCUCGCAAUUUUGUUUGCUCCUCCUCCCUUGAUUUUCUAUCAAUCCAAGAUUCGUGGAGUGCAACCUGCACCUCGUUUUGCCUUGGCUCCAUCGACAAACUUGUUUUGAUGUUGAUGAAUUCUUCUAGACUUUUGAAGACUCUUGUAUCCAUACAAAAACGCGGUUCUGUGAAAAAAGAUAAGAGAGGAGUUGUCAGAACUUCUUUGACAUAUUUACUGAUAUUAGUAAAUCAUUAGUCAAGCUACCUCUGUCAUCAGUGAUAACAGAUGUCUCAAACUGGAAGUGGAGUUUUGCUCUCUUCACAACCGAAAGAUAAAUUAUCCAUGCCAAAGAUGUCGGGCACACGGAGGUCAAACGUAAUCUUUUAACCAUUGCAUCAUCUAAUGGACCAUCAGGACCCCUGAUAUAGAGAUGCCUGCGUAGAAACCACCUUCUAAGAAAUUGGACAAUUCCUCGGGGACAAAAGGGAGUUAAACCAAAGUGCAGAAUUUGAGCUUUAGGGACUAAAAGACAACGUUAAUGGAGAUCUAAUUCCUAUUUGUAAUCUCUAACUGGAUUCAAUAAAUUAAUCAAACUAUACCUCACUUCAAACCAGUUUGGGAUUGGUGAAAUGAGUCAUAUAUUCCAGUUCAAUAUUAUUAAUCAUUUUAAAUCGAGUCUUUAAAAGCAAGUUAUAAAAUUUAUGUACCCAAAAGCUGAUGGGACUGGAGGCGGAGGUGGGGGAGGUCGCUUCCCACGAAUGUAUCUUCGGACGGGGGAUGGUAUCUGAGGAGGAGGAGGAGGCUGCGGCAAGAAACCUUGAGGCAUUGUCCUUGUAGACGAGUCCGCUUCCUCGGACAUCGCUGAUGGCUCCUUUUCUUCAGAUAUUGACAUCCCUGAUGGCUUCUUUUCUUCAGAUAUUGACAUUGGUGACUCCUCUGAGUCCUCCUUCAUAGGUUCUUUUCCAGACAUGCUGUAUACAACAACCACCACCACCCAGUGAUGUAUAUUAUUAAUCAAUAACAGUGUCAAAUUUAUGUUUGUUUGCAAAAUACACAAACAACAAUAACAACAACAGCCAAGUGUUAGUAUAUUAUUAAUCAACAACAGUGUCAAACUUAUACUUGUUUGCAAAAAACACAAAUUAAUCUGGGAUGUAUUAAAAUAUUCUUAUCUAGUUUUUGAAAUUUCUUGAAACCCCAAACAAAUUUUGUUGAAACCAUCUACAAAGAGAAGGCCCAAACUUAGGUUGCACCUAGGAUUCAGCACUUUCCCGCACCCUUUAACAACACUGAUGAAAUCCUAAAUUUCUAUAUUCUUUUCAGGCAAAACAUUUUUUUAGCAUCUAAACCUAACACAUUUUGAAAUAUAAAUCGGCACUCACCUAGAGAAUAAUAGGUGGGCUAGAGCUGGGAAUCACUCUAUACACCAAUCUGGAAUAUUAGUACCUGCUCUGCUCUUCAAUUGGAGUGUGUAAUAAUUCACCCAAGUAGGAUGAUAAAAGUAGUGAGGAGAGUCAGUGUGGAUGAAAAAAUGGUAUAGAGCUAAGAAACACAAAGUAGUGAGGAGGGUGAGUAUUGAUGAAAAAAUGGGAUAAUUACUACACACUCAAUUUUAAUAUUUUAAAAUGUGCUUUUUAAAAACAAAACUAGUAUUAGUUAAUACAUCCAUUGUAAUAAAGACCACGCAAUUAUUUUUCGAUACUUUAUGGAAACUAAAUUCACCAAAUUAUAAUUAUGACCUUUUAACUUUACUGGUGUACAAGUAGGCCCUUCAACUAUACAAAGACUAAACAAAAAAAAAAUACUUCUAUUCCACAUUCAAAAUCAUGCUCGUCGGAGUUAGAAUUGAAGUGUUGUUUUGUUCUGCUUUUGUAUAGUGAAAGGGCCUACUUGUUCACCGGCAAAGUUAAAAGCCAUAGUUAUAAUGUGUCGUCUUUAUUAGGUGGUUACUAAUCCACGUGGGAGCGAUUGAGUUUCACGCGUGUAAGUUGCAGAAUUGGAGUGUUUUUUUUGUGUUCAGCUUUUAUAUAGUUAAAGGGUAUGCUUGUGCACUGACAAGGUUAAAGGGAAUAAUUAUAAUUUCUUGUCAAGUUAAAAGUUCUUGUUUUAUGUAUUAUGCCUUCCAUUUUUAUUGGAUCUGCAUCAUAUUUUUGACUAAAAUUAAUCACACUAAAGUUUUUUUAAAAAAAAUAAUAAUAAUAAUUAAAAAAAAAUCUUUCAAUUUAGAUUAGAAAAUAACAAGACUUCGUUAAAAAUUAAUCACACUCAUUUUUAUCACAUUGCUAAAAGAAAAGAUAAUACGCAUCCAGACUUAACAUAUGUGUAAUGAAGUCGCAGCGAGUAUAGAAAAUUGAAUGCCAAUGUAAUAAAAAUGAGUGAUGUGUUACUUUUUUUAGUAUGUCCAAAAAAUAAUAAAAUGUCAUGCUUUUUUAUGUGAUCAGGAGGUCACGGUUCAAGCCUGGGAAACAGCCUUUGGCAGAAAUGCAAGGUAAGGCUGCGUACGAUACACCCUUGUGGUGGGGUCCUUCCACGGACACCGCGUAUAUCGAUAGCUUUAGUGCACCGGACUGCUCUUUUUUUUUUUUUUUUUUAUGUAGAAACAAUUUGCCUUUGAACUUUUUAAUUUUACACAUAAAUAUCUAUAGCUUAUUUUUAAACUACAAAGUUUUAAAACUUCCUUUACUUUUUAAAACUUGGUGUCAAUCAGACAAUUGAUCUUAGGCCCUGAUUCAAUUAGGUGUAUUUAUGCAUCUAAGUGUCAUGGUCGACGUGGGUUUGUGAGAACUUUAUGCAUGAUUUUGUGUUGGUGAUGUGCAUAUUUAGCCUCAUAUUGGAUUGGGUUGGUGAAGCCUAGCAUUAGAUAAAUGAAGUAGUUGUUCUUGCGUAGUUUUGAGUAGCUUUUUAUGUGAUGUAUGGUUUAAUUAAUGCUUGUGAUGAGAUAUUGUAGGAGACCAUUGGAGCUGCUUUGGGAUGCUAAAUGAGGAUACACAAUAGCUACAUACGAAAUUGUGUUGUUUUGUGCAUGGUCCGUCCACGACGUGCUGCCUCCACUUUGCGUCCAUUUCAGCUACGCGAAAUGGCCUUGAAGUAGGGCGCUCUUUCUACGCGGGCAAAAUUGGUUCCUAGUCCUACUUUGAGUGGGAAAACUCACCUAGUUCUUAUGAGAGUUGGUCGACCCAAUUUGGGGGCUAUGAAGAAAAGAGAGGAGAACGCGUUUGGAUUCACAACACAAAAGUUUCAAGGAGGCUACCCAGAGAGUUCUUGAUUUGUAUGGUUAAAUUCUCUUAGUUUUACUUGUUUUAUUACUUAUUGUCAUGUUGUUGUAGUAGUACGAAUUGUAUCGUUUCUUGUCAUUACAUAAUGUCCACACAUCAACAACAAUAUGAGGUGUGUAUCAUAAUUAUAGUUACGGUUUCGACGAAACUCAAUAAAAAAGUUCAAUGAUAAACAACAUUCAUUUAGAACCUACAAACUACUCUAAAUCCUGCAUUCGUCUCUCAUCUUUGAUCGCAACGAACUAUAUAUGAAGAGUUGCUAGAUCAACAAUGAGCAGCCUAUGAUUUACAUAGUAAUGAACACAAUGCUGUCAGUAUUUUGCCACUCCAGCACUCUGAGCCUUCCCUAAAAUUAACUCGAUGCUGCCAUGAAAGAGACCUAAACAUUUCGCCAAUGCAAAGCCGCUAUACAUGCCACCAACAGCUGCACUUACUAUACCGCCGGCAUAACCUGCGCCUUCUCCAAUAGGGUAAAGCCCUCUUAAGGACGUGCACUCGCAAGGGUCAGCACUUCGCGAGAUCUGGACUGGGGAACUAGUUCUUGUCUGCAAUGAGGAAGAAACUAAAAGUUGCAACAAAGUUGCCUCUUUAUUGUUUAGGUAGUAGACCUCUUGUCUGCAAUCAGGUACUACAAAAUUGCCUUCGCCCAUUGCAGCUGCCCUUCGUUCAAACAUCCUCUGAAAUCAUACGGUCGAGAUGAAAAUACUUGCAAGUAAAAUAUUGACAAACAAUAAAUGUACCUACGUACUAGGGCCUAUGGGUAAUUCAACAAUUACCAUGGAAGAAACAACUGAUUGAGCUAGGUUCUUGAAGACAAAAACUCUCUAGCUUAUACUUGUUUCUUUGUACAAUCUAAUGGUUUCGAUCUAUGCAGCCAGUGUGGAAAGCGAGAAAUGCAAGAUGUUUUGAAGGCAGAACCAGUUCAAUCCAGAAGAUCAAGAGCUCCUGCAAAGGAGGCUACCCAGAGAGUUCUUGAUUUGUAUGGUUAAAUUCUCUUAGUUUUACUUGUUUUAUUACUUAUUGUCAUGUUGUUGUAGUAGUACGAAUUGUAUCGUUUCUUGUCAUUACAUAAUGUCCACACAUCAACAACAAUAUGAGGUGUGUAUCAUAAUUAUAGUUACGGUUUCGACGAAACUCAAUAAAAAAGUUCAAUGAUAAACAACAUUCAUUUAGAACCUACAAACUACUCUAAAUCCUGCAUUCGUCUCUCAUCUUUGAUCGCAACGAACUAUAUAUGAAGAGUUGCUAGAUCAACAAUGAGCAGCCUAUGAUUUACAUAGUAAUGAACACAAUGCUGUCAGUAUUUUGCCACUCCAGCACUCUGAGCCUUCCCUAAAAUUAACUCGAUGCUGCCAUGAAAGAGACCUAAACAUUUCGCCAAUGCAAAGCCGCUAUACAUGCCACCAACAGCUGCACUUACUAUACCGCCGGCAUAACCUGCGCCUUCUCCAAUAGGGUAAAGCCCUCUUAAGGACGUGCACUCGCAAGGGUCAGCACUUCGCGAGAUCUGGACUGGGGAACUAGUUCUUGUCUGCAAUGAGGAAGAAACUAAAAGUUGCAACAAAGUUGCCUCUUUAUUGUUUAGGUAGUAGACCUCUUGUCUGCAAUCAGGUACUACAAAAUUGCCUUCGCCCAUUGCAGCUGCCCUUCGUUCAAACAUCCUCUGAAAUCAUACGGUCGAGAUGAAAAUACUUGCAAGUAAAAUAUUGACAAACAAUAAAUGUACCUACGUACUAGGGCCUAUGGGUAAUUCAACAAUUACCAUGGAAGAAACAACUGAUUGAGCUAGGUUCUUGAAGACAAAAACUCUCUAGCUUAUACUUGUUUCUUUGUACAAUCUAAUGGUUUCGAUCUAUGCAGCCAGUGUGGAAAGCGAGAAAUGCAAGAUGUUUUGAAGGCAGAACCAGUUCAAUCCAGAAGAUCAAGAGCUCCUGCAUUUCUCUUCUUUAUUUUUGGUGUAAAGAACAGUUAGUUGAUGAUGUUGAAUCAUUACUAGACUUCUUCGCCUCUUUGUAAGUUUUGUUCAAGGCUGUAUCUGUAGAUAUGAUAUACCAGGCCUGUUUAGGGUACUGAUGAAUAUAACUCGUUGCCAAUUUCAAAAAAUCUAUGCAGCCAGUGUGGACGCUUAUAAGUAGUACCUGAAAUUCAACACCACCGAGAGGUAUGUGCAAGUCCAAAGCAGCAAAAUCUUUUGACGAGACUGUAACAACAAGUGCAGCAUUCGCCCAUUUAGAUGACUGUCGGGAAAAGGACAUGCCACUGACACAGAGCUCCGAUGGAUUUGUACUGGUUAAAACCACCUGCCAAAAUCUUGUCAAGUAAAUUAUUUCGAAAUCGACACUUGAAGCCAAUAAAAAAGAUACGUCUUCCAGAUAUCACCAACUUAACAUAAGCAUAAAAACAUUUCUAGCUGUUGCCAUCACUCAUCUACAAUGUCUAUCAUGAACGAGAAGUUCAAACCAUUGGAUUGAUGUUGCACAACAACAUACCCAGUGUUAUCCCACAAGUUGGGUUUCGGAAGGGUAGGAUAUACGAAAACUUACCCCUACCUCGUGGAGGUAGAAAGGUUGUUUCCGCUAGACCCUCGGCCCAAGUGCAGCAAAUCAAAGUAGUUACGAAAAAGGAAAUACUGCAGUGAACAAAACAUGGCAACAAAUUGAGAAAGCAGAUUGGGUUUAUGUUGCACGAGAGGGAAUAAUAGAAUUAGAAAGUUGGAAAAGCAUACGCAAAUGUCAGAUCAAUCAUAAUAUUUCAUAAGCAAUUACGAACAAGAGCAGUUGUUGUACCUGCCCACCAGGACACAUGCAAAAGGAGUAACAACUGCGAUUUCUUGGUGCAGAAUUUGAAGGCAAAGCAAUACCGUCUGUAUUCACAUAUUCAACAACCUUGUAAUCCGCAACAGGCACUUUCCCGCGUCCACUUUGAACUUCAUUAGCCAAUCCAGAAUACUGAAUAUAAUUUGACCAAAAACACAAAUUAUUUUCAAGUUAAAUUCCGAGAUAUAAUUGAACUUAGAGAGGAAAAUACAACAAAUGUAAAUGCUCACGGAAAAUGAAAUAGCUUGGGAAGAACAAGAGCAACUCUGAAGCGCAGAGGGGAAUUGUUAAAUAGCACAUAUAAAUGUACCCCGAGGACAGCAAUUGAUACUAUCUAGUAAGAUCCUCUAAAACUAUGUUAGCGUAAUCAAUAUAAUAAAUGGGUUCAGCUUUCAACUAAGACACUCCUCGUCAUGAUACAGCAGGAAAAAGCUAAUACACUCUGUCACAAAUAAAUAAAUUAUUGAUUGUGUUCAGUAACAAACAGGAAAAAGCUAACACACUCUGUCACAAAUAAAUAAAUGAUUGAUUGUGUUCAGUAACAAACCUGUAUCCUGUUUAUUAAUUCUUGAGGAUGCUCAACCCGCAGGCCAACCUACAAUUAAUACGUGUUAUCAGGAGAUUGAUUGUAUCUACGCGUGUGAAGGAAUAGCAAUGAGAUUAUAGUAAAAAUUGAUACCAAAAGAGUCAAUACGAACGAACCAAAGACAUCAAGGACAAAACAAAGGGAAAGCUCACACACAACACAUGCAAAGGCAGGGCUGCAACCCCAGCAUGCGCUACCAAGCAGUCCACGGAAUUUUGAUUUCUUAGUUGACUUCUCAAAAUAAAGGAAAAAGGAAACAAAUUGUUGACAGAAAUGGGGUUUAGAUAACAAUAUAAAGAUGAAUACAUUUCAGACGUCUCCUUACUUCCGCUAACCCCAUUGUAGAUUAAACUCCACCAGUGAAGUUAAUCCAACUGGACUGACGAAUUAAUGUAGACACCUAAAAUCUUACUUCUCAUAUGGGGUCGCGUUGAGCACAUCCAAAUUUUUUUGUAAAAUCUUUACUUCCCAUAUGGGAGGCCAAUUGCGCACAUCCAAGUUUUUGUAUGAGGUCCUAUUAUGAUCAAAUAUUUGUUUAAAACACUACCUAUUUAUUCAUUCUCGAAGGACUAAAGUUAUAUAAUCAUAUCGACCUUAGAUGUUGACGCUUUUCAAUAUAAUUUACAAUACCAACUUCUGGAUAAUACUGCUAAUUCUCGCCACAAAUGUAAUAAAUUAACUUUCCUGCUGUGGUAAGAUCAUCAGCAUACCAGUUAGUAAACCCUCCCCAAUAAGCCUCCCUAUUGUUGUCUUUGCCUGGAAAGACAUCUAAUGCCUUGUUAGGAGGAGCUGCACAGACGCCCCAAAGGAGGUGUCAGGGGUUUACAAUGGAGGGCCUGAGGAGAGGUAGAGGUACGCCAAAGAAGUAUUGGGGAGAAUUGAUUGGGCAAAGACAUGGCAAGCCUUCAGCUUACCGAGGACAAGACCCUUGAUAGGAGGAUACAAAGAUCAAGGAUUCAGGUAGAAGGCUGGUAGUAGAUAGCUUCACGUCUUGUUUUUCCUACUAGAGUAUUAGUAUUAUUUUCGGCAUUUUUAUUAUUUCCCUAUUUUUCAUGUUUAGUUUUCUAUUACUACUUGAUGCUCUUUUUGAAAUUGUACUACUUGAUGUCUCUUAUACCUGGGUUUUCUUACUAUCCUGUUGUUGUUACUGUUACUGCUUAUGUUUCCAUAAAUGUUGUGUUGUUGCUUUCCUUGAGCCAAGGGUCUACCGAAAACCGCCUCUCUACCGGCACCAAGGUAGGGGUAAGGUCUAUGUAAACUCUAUCCUCCCCAAACCCCACUUGUGAGAUUUCACUGGGUAUGUUGUUAUUGUUGGCAUAGGAAAAUAUAAACCAGCAAUCCAGCCAUAAAGCUAUAAACAAAUGUACACUUUACAUAAGAUAUAAAAAUUAUAAAUGGAAAGAAAAAGAUAUAAACUAACAUAAAUAUUUAAUAUGGACAGGAGCGCACAGAAAAAUCCUUUUCAACCAGGCUGACCCCAUGAGGACGAAGCAGCUGACAUGUAUCACCUGCAGAAUGCCCUACUGCAAGAACCAUUGCAUCAUACCCCAACUGCUGGCUGGUGGAGGGUGAGCGGUUCUCUCUUGAAUCAGAAACUUUGACUCCCACCACAUGUUUAUCCUUGACAAGUAAAUCGUCUACUCUUGUUCCAAACCUGAUGGCGACCUGACCAUAUCAGCAACAAAACAGAAGUUCUUGAUAACUCGAAAACUUUCACAUUUCUUUCCUAAGAGGCAUAAGUUAUAAAUUACUUACACCCAACUCUUCAAGGUAACGCCGAAAUCUUGAAGAAGUGGAAUCAAUUUAUCAGUUCCCAGAUGAGUUUUUCCAUCAACCAAAAUUUUUGGUGGAGCUCCAAAUCGGACCAAUGUUUCCAAAACCUGGAAACCAAGAUCAAAGGUGAAGACAAGGAUAACUGACAAAAUCAACACGUGUUUAGAGAAAUAAAUUCUUAGGUAAGAAAUCAAAAGUACAAUUUUCCAGGAUUAAGUAACUCACUGCCAAAACUCUACCGCUGUUUCUGCCAAUUCAAGUAACUAGCUUCCCGUAGCUCCAAGUACCUGCACCACCCUGUCCCACAUAAGUCCUACGUAAAUAAGUAGCUAACGAGAGCCAAUGGUUGUAACAUCGUACAAUCUAUUUGACCUUAUAAACCAGUAGGAUGAUGAAACUGUAUACAUAUCUAAAUCACUGAAAUCAUAAGCUCAAAUCAAGCACUAAAACAUCUCUUUUUCAAAUCUUACAGUGCAAGUACAGAACUACAGAUUUGAUCAGAAUCCCAUUUACGAUCUGACAUCCAUCAAGGUAAAAAGUAAAUGUUGAGAAUUUUAAUAUAUGGCCUGCACAACAUCAUUUCCAUCAUAAGAGUAAGGAGAAGAUGAAAUAUGGAAGAAAUACAGAGCCGGAAAUAUUGUCUAUUUAAAGGCAGCCAAGUGCACUAAGCCCCCGCUAUUGUGCAGGGUCCGAGGAAGGGCAGGACCACAAGGGUCUUGAUGCAGCCUUACCUCUGCAGAGGCUGUUGGAACAGCUCGAACCCGUGAAGUCCUAGUCACAUGGCAUCAACUUUACCAGUUACGCCAAGACUCCCCUUCAAAUAUCAUCAACUUUAACAAUCAAUCUCCUCCAUUUUUUACUCCAAUUGGUUGAAAUAGAUGAAAAUCUACGUGCAGCGGAAGACAUAUUAGUCCUGUUACAAUCAAAGGAGAUCCUAUAGCAUCUUAAUCAGGUCUAACAGGAAGCACUACGGCAGUUAACACCCAGUAAUAUUCAGAAUGCAAUGAAACCCCAAAAAAAAUUCUAGCUUGGCCAAAAAUUGUCACGUCCAGAUCUAGCGAGAGUCAGCUUUCGCCUCGUGUACAUGUUCUGCCAUUCCACUAACGAAAUUAGUUCUUGACAGUAUUUUGAAAUCAUUAAGAUCAAAAUCAGUCAUGAGUACUCUUGCCUAAAAAUAUUUUCCCAUUAUACAUUUCUAAUUUCACAGAUACUGCCAUGUGCUUCAAUAAUAGUUCAAAACAGAGGCAAAUUGUAGAAAUUAAUCUCAUGAAGCUGGAAAAACCUUUGAAGGAAAUAAGUGAAUCGGGAUAUAACCUCCCCAAAGAAAAAGUUGCUCUCCUCUUGCAAUAUCCGUCGAACAACCAAAGCACCAAUGUCACGGCCCAUUUUAUCAACUGCUUCUCCCCUUUCCAUCAGUGUAACAUCUACUCCAAAUUCAGCAAGCACAAGAGAAGCAAACAACCCUGCAGGCCCACUACCAACAACUGCAACUUUUGAUUUUCUGUAACUUGCAUUCGUAUGUGAUCCAUUGUAGAGAUUUCUAUCUCCAAAAUCUGAAGUAGUUGCAUCCUGACCUGACUUUCUGCAAGCAUGUACAGUGCUCAUUAUGUCACCAAAAGUUCGAUCAUGAGACAAAUGCUCAAUUAAGCCAACCUUGGGUUUCAAUUCAGAGAUGAAUUCCCAAGUAUGAGGCUCUAAAUUUAGCAGUUUAUGGGCAUUCACAUCAACUGCAUAUACAAACCUCUGUUCCUUUUGCAACUGCAAUCAGGUCAAUGUAGAAGUUAAGUACAAAUCGAGAAUGUUCAACUGCACCUAUUACAUGCUUUGUCUCAAGCAAUUGAAUGUCGAUGCUACAAAAUCACCAACAUCAUCGUCCCAACACUAUAACCAAGGAUACAUCCAUAAUAAGCUCAAAUGCAUGAGCAUACUAAACUUGCAGAAAUAAGUAUUCAGAAAUCAUUGAUGGUUUAUGCUCUAGGUUUAGAUAUGGUCUCUUUUUUCUACCGUUUUUUCUUCAAUUCAAUACAUUAUAGCUGAAUUAACUUAGGACGGUCAAUGUUCAUCGACGCCUGAAAGGAAAUGUGGCAAAGAGCUAAUAAUGGAGAAAGGAAAGCCUGGCAAACAUAUAUUGAGGUGCUACCUCAUCCUCAUGCAUAGACUUAAAUAUCCCAACCCUUUUUUUAUAAGGGCAAUUCAUUGAAACAUUUGAAUCUAUUCCACCCCUUUAGUGCUUGGCCCCAGAACAUUGACUGUCCAAAUAUUAUAUCAUAUUCAUCAAUACAAUACAACCCAACACCCGGUACUUUACAGGUUGGUUAUACAAAAAUGGCAGCUCGGUGCACUAAAUCUCCUGCUAAGCGCAGGAUACAGGGAAGGGUCUAUUGUACUCAGCCUCAGUGUACAUUUCUACAAGGGCUCGUGACCUCCGAUACCUUACCAAUUACUCAGAGAUUCCCCUUCUCAUGUGAUAUUAUGUAACGAUGAAAAAUGAUACAAUCUAAUCCAAACAUUAUAUAAUACAGUACAGUACAAUAUGUAACAAUCAUUGAAACAAAGGGAAGAAUGUUACCUUUUCUCAACAGUGAGGAAACUGGAGCCGGUUAAUCAAUAUGAGAAAAAUGGACGAGACGGGAGAGUUUACUUGGGCCGGGUCGGAGUGUUUUUAGUAUCGGGACGGGUAUUUUGGGAGAAUUGGGCAGGGAUAUUAUUAAGCUGAGAUAGCCCAAUAGAGGGGGAGAUUUUGUGGGGUUAAAAUUGGCUAGAAUUGAGAUUUAUUAUAUUAUAGCCCAAACAUUUCAAUUGAAGUAAUAUUCUAUUAAAAUAUAGCCAAAACAUUUCAAUUGAGGUAAAAUUGCUAACCAUUUCAAUUGAGAUAUGAGACAAAUUUAUUAUUUUAUUUAAUCAACUAAACUUCUUGUUGACAAACUGAAUUAGUUAUAAUAAUUAAGUGGUAAAUGACUUCAUUUGAUUUUAUUAACUAAACCCUAUUUUCAUUUUGUUUGGCUUAUGUCGACUUGGAACACUAUUUUAGUAGAUCCUAUAUUUAAUUGAUUAGAGACAAAUUGUUAAAAGAUGAUUUGCGGUUGGAAGAUAAGCAAUUGCAUUAGAAUUAGACCCUCACAUCCUCGCUCAAUGAUGUAGUUGUGAGACUAAUUGGGUAGACGACUUAAAGGAUGAUCAUUAUCAAAUGUACUAUCAAAUCUUUUAGAGAUUUUUUUUUUUUUAUCACUUUAUGUAUCAUUUCCUUAUCAUUGGACGCAAGUAAGAUCAUCCAUGUAUAAAUCUAAGAAACAAAAUUUUACUCCCACUUACCUUCGUUCUAAUAUAUGUGUUGAUCCAUAACGAUCUUGAUAAAGUCGAUUACAAAGAUAACAUUAUGAAAUUUUAAGUAACAUUGACAUGAGGCUUGUUUUAGAAAGCCAAUGAUUUUCAAUCAUCACAUAAUCAUGAUUCAUUAACUCUUGACUGCAUUCCUCUUCCCAAUUUUAUUUAAUUUUGCUCUAAAUCUCUUCGUCUUCACAUCAAUUCGAUCUUUAUAUAUAUAUAUAUAUAGUUGUUACCAUUUAAUUCACAAUUUAAGGUAAACAAUGUGUAGAAUUGAAUCUACCAACAAACUACUAUGCG
rnacentral:lncRNA from 1 species